GGGUCAUUAGGUUGGUCGUGCCACCGGUACGUACUGGUCUCACUGAUUCCUCCUUCCUGAAGAACCGUAAUGCCAUUAAUUUGGUGUUGCGGGGAAACAGGACUGUUACUUUGAAAAAAUUAGAGUGUUUAAAGCAAGCUAACGCUUGAAUACAUUAGCAUGGGAUAAUGAAAUAGGACGAUCGAUCCUAUUUUGUUGGUUUCUAGGAUUGACGUA
rnacentral:rRNA from 1 species